GACAAUGAGUCUGUUUUCAAAGUAGAGCCUCAGCCCCUAAACCAUCCUUUGUCCUGUUUUGUACUAUCAGAGCUGGACCUUGUCAUCACUUAACACUUGGGAUAGUGUUUAGCAUUAUGGUAGAAGGCUCUACAAUGGUCCCACAGGAGAAAGGACACUCUUCUACCUGAACCCAGUGGUUUUCCCCUUUUGCUCCAGGGAUAUGCAGCUGAAGUGCCCUUCUCUUGAGGGGUCACUCAAAAGUGUGCCCCCUGUGGGUGGCUUCUUAGAAAGUUUUAUCAGCACUCUGGAUGCAGCUUUCUAGUGAGGAGUCUUAGAGGGGGCUUCCCAGCAAGUUUCAGCGACCUGCUCUUCAUUGUCUUCAGCUGGAGGCUUCCUAGUGGUGCUGCUGGAAUUCCCUUAGAGCAGCUAGUUUCUGGCUGGCCAGGCCUGGUACUCAACACCUCAGGGAAAUUCUCUCCCUGCAGUGGGAGGCAGCUGCACCUUCUCCAGCUGGUUCCGAGCUUCAGUCUGGGGGACUUUCUCCCAGGAUGCUCUUCCUUGAAAACUCUGUUUUAGUCCUAGCAGGAGUGGCUGCCACUUACACCUGCUUUUUCUGUGUUUUUUAGAUUCUCUCUAUCCUUUUUAUUAGUAAAUUCCCUCUGAUGAAUGGAUAAUUAUUCAUAUUCAAAUUUUCCAAUUCAAACGACUGGUUUGGUUACUGCCUGCGAGCCGACAUUGGCUGAUACAGACACCAUACAAGAACCCAGAAAAAGCUGGAAGAUAGGCAUGCCCUCUGUGACCACAACAUCCUGAAAGAAUCCAUUCUUAGCCACUUGGUCCUGAGCGUGAAAGGAGGUGUCUAAGCGCUUCCUUUUAAGUUCUCAUUAGAUUUUAUUUCAAUAAAGUUGUUGCAUCCCUUUCUCCUCCUCCCCCCGCUCCCCCCCCCCCCAAAAAAAAACGGUCCAUGGUUUCGCGGCUAUAGAGGAGCCACCUGGCUGCAGCUUGGAAAUCCAGGCAUUCAUCUCCCGGCGCCAUGGCUGUGGGCACAAAUGUGUAGGAGAUUCUAGAACUGGGGGAUGAGAGAGGCACAGGGCUUCCGGGACCAUCAGCAAGAAGCAGAUUAUCAAGCCAGACAAGAAAAAGUCCAAGAAGUCCUACGAAGUCCUGGCCUUCCAGAAGUCUGCGGAUGUGCACCCGGAAGUCUACCGCUGCUCUAGUCUGACAAGAAGGACUCACUGCUAUCCAGUGACACGGGCAAGGCCACCGCACCGUGAGGGCCAAGUUGGGCACCAAGAAGACGUGGCCCUGGAAGUGGAUGCCAUCCACCAACCCAGCAUGCAAGGAUGGAGCCUGUUCUUCCACUGGCGACAGGCAGCUGAGGAGGGCAAGGCUGUCCCCUUGCCCACGUUCGAUAAGACUGUUGGUGCCCGUGCAUUCAGAGCAGGAGUACCAGCUCUGGCUUCACCAAGACACUCAAACAGAGGCAGAAACUGGCCACCUCUUUGACCUCAGCCGCUGCUUUGGUCUCCCUUUUGUCAUUCGCCAUGCCUGGGAUGAUCGCCAGCAGUUGACGGAGCCACCUGUGGAGGACUUGAAGGAGCGGUAUUACCGCGUCUGAGCAGAGCUGGCCAACGUCCAGGCCGAGAUCUGGACAACGCACAGACCUCGGGGUACCAGUGUUCGAUGCUUGGCACUGGCGACGGUGGAAGGAACAACUGAAGCAUUGCUGUAAGUUGCCAGUAAGCACGCGACGGCGGAAGAGUACCCACUAUAUAAGCUGCUCCAGAUCUAGUCCCGGCAGAAGCAGCGUAGUGGGGAGCGCGGGAGCUUCUGACGGCUGCUGGCCGGGCUGCCUAGCAACGUCCUCCUGACGCAGUCACCUCACAAAAAAGGGGCCAAGAAGCCGGUUGUUCUGAGACUACAGGCAUGACUACCUUAGCAGAUGGAGCUGCUAGGGUCUAUGGAACAGACGAUCGAGGCCUGGAACCAGUGCUGGAUGUGGAGCUGAGCCCGGAGGAGGGGUUGGUGCGCAGGCUCGGCGAGGCGCGGCCCGAGCUGGUGCAGGUGGACCAGCUCGAGCAGGAUGGCGCCGCCCGUGGGGACGAGCCCCGGACGCUGGCCCCGGCUGGGUGCUGCGAGGCUGCCACCCCAGCGUCGGUGCUGGCCCUGGCGGAGCCUGAACCUGGCCUGGGGCCUGCUCCUAGCAAGGGCACCAUCGUCUACCAUCAUCGCACCCAUUGCGUCCACGAGGAAGCGAUGGGAAUCAUCUCCAGCUCCUCUUCUCUGAAAAAACCAAGAAACCCUGAGAGGCCGCAAGGGGUGAAGGAUGCGGCUGCGUAGAGCUGCAUGAAGUUCAAACUCAUUGGAAGCCACAAAUUACAUGCAUGAGAGACUCCUGCAAUUUCGGAAAGGACUGCACUUGACUGCUGGAAGGAAGAAAGGACACACAAGUGCUCAGUUCACCUGUCUGCUGGCAUCUUGCUGAUAGUUCAGUUAGCAUCCUACGGACAGUUCUAGAGGUCAGAAGAAAAGGCAGGGGAAAUAGUGCUGUGACUCAUCCCCACACCCUUGUAUCUACAUUGUCCUACAUCGGGGCCCUCCUUCAGCCCUACAGCCUGAGCCCCAGAAUGACUGUCACUGGGAGCAGAGCCACAGCUGACUUGCAUGGCCACACACUGAGACCCGGGUUUGAUCCCUGGGUAGGGAAGAUCCCCUGGAGAAGGAAAUGGCAACCCGCUAUAGUCCAUGGGGUCACAGAGAAUCAGGCACGACUGAGCGACUUCACUUCAUCCCUGCUUCCAGCAACCACCAGCCCAAGUCAGUCUGCAGCCAUCAACAAUCGAAGCCAGACCCUCUGUCAGCAAGAUGAUGACUUGCUAAAGACUCAGAUGAUGGACUUCAGAGCAAACAAACCCAAGGGAAUCCUGAUCUGAGAAAAUGGAGUCCAUAUAUUUUUCUUUGAGCUGAAGCUUCCUCCAAUGGCCACUUCAGUGCAAGAAGAGUGUGGGGGUGUCGUCUUGUUACCUUCAGACGAGCCGGAAGUGCAGGUUCUUCACAUGGCCUGGUUUCCCAUUGGGAUGAACGGGGGCUCUUUGUUACUGCUGGACGGGCUCAGAGUUCCAGCUCUCUCUCCAACUUCAGCUGGGACCUGGCUGGAAGCAGGAGAAGAUCUCGUCACCAGGCUUCACUGGGGCCCCCGCUGCCAGUUCCUUGGAGGAAGUGGACUCGUUAUCACGGAGUAGUGCUAAGAGCCUUGACUGCAUAGUUCUUGUUCUCACACACCCUCGGUGAGGAAGUGGAGGUACCUUGUUACUGCUGCAGAGAAGUGGCGAUCCAGACUCUGUCCUGGUCUCCACUGCAGCAUGGCACGAGAUCUGUCAGGGAUGGAAAGCUCAGUUCUCCAGUCAGCCUCUUCUGAUACCAAGCUGUGGAAGGAAAGUUAGAGUAUCUCACUGUUGCCUGCCAAGGGUGGAAGUCUUGCUUUUCCACGCAAAACUUUGCUAGAAAGGAUGAGGCUGGGGCUUACUCUACAGGUUACUCUACACCGGUUAUUGGGUGAAGGUUUUUCUCUUGUUACCUGGUCCUUCGGCUACAGAGAAGAGGCUGUACGAGGGUUCUUUUAGCAGCUUCUCCAGUAUUCAUUCUGAGAUACAUGAGACAAAAAGAAAACUUCAGAAUUCACCAAGUCGUUCCACAUAAACAUAGGUAUAAAUAUCUCCCAGUUUUGAACUUGUACUUGGUGGUUGGAAUAGGUAAAAGUACAUCUGUUCUUCUCCAUACUCUUUGAAAGUUCGAUAAAAUUCAUAUGAUUCUUGUUUUGUAAAUUGAGGUAUAAGUGAAAUAUAACAUUUCAGAUGUAUAAUAAAAUGGUUCAGUGUUUGUAUAUAUUGUGAAAUGAUCAUGAUAAAUUAUCUUAAAAAUCUUUUUAGAAAGCUAUAAUAAACUGAACAAAAUGUUUAUUGUAAUAUGCCUCACAGCAGAUAAUACUUAAUGUGAUAUAUGUCUCUGAUAUUUUACCCUGCUUUAAUGCCAAAUACUAAAGAAAAUGAUACAAACACAGAUCAUUACUGCCAGCAAAAAAUAAAUAAAAUUCACAUCCCUUUGGUGAAAUGCAAUGAUACAAACCAUGAGUUUGGAUAAUGUGGAUGACACUUUACAUGGAAAGGAAAAUCAAGAAUGAAAAUAAUUGUGAUGGAGUCCUGUGGUAUUCUUUUAAAACUCCUAUUAAAAUAUUGGAGGAUGAUGGGGUACAAGUGGAGACGUGAAUAGGUGCUUUAGGGUGACUACUGCAGUUUAUCUGGACCUCGCCUGGUUUUAACACUGAACGUCUCUUAGUCCUGGACAAACAGGAAGCGUAGUCAUCCUCACUGGACAACUGUGCUGAUUUACAGGUACUGUGCAAUUUUAAUCUUGUAAUUGUGGCUGUUUUACUACUAAUGCAUCCAAGGAAUUAUUAAAAUAACUGGGUAAAGUUCACCACAUUCUCUUACCUCAUCCAUCGUUGUAGCUGGGAGCUUGUGACUUCUAGUAACUACUGAAUUGGGUUUUCUGCUCUUGUUCUUCACCUCCUUUAGUCCCUUUGUUUCCAAACAGCAGAGUUCUUAAGAAUUGCAUUAGAAUCAAGCAAUUGGAGAGAUAUAUUUAUGAUUAGAAAACUGUUGACUAGAACCAAAGUUUAUUAUAUUAUCUGUAGAAUAAUAGACAUUUUAAAAUGAAUUAAUGUAGUUUGCUAUAUUUGCUAAAGUUAUAUUGUAUCAAUUACUUACUGGAAUCUUCAUUUACAAGAAAUAAUAGUAAUGUAGAAUAAUCUUAUAU
ensembl:lncRNA